ensembl:lncRNA
AGCAGAGGAUAUGGGGGAAGGGUCUGCACCUGGCAAGGCCCCACAAAGUCCUGCUCAGUUAGAGUUAGGAGUACAAGAGGUUUAGUGAGGGGGUGAUGUCUGUGAGAAAUAAAAGGGAGAAGAAGCAGGCUUGGGCUGGGAAAGCCCCAGACUGCUAAAGAGAUUUGACCUUAUCAGUUAACCCAGUUAGAAGUUCUAAAGUAACUGCUACCCUCAGAGCAGUCCCAUCUUAGCAGAAAUGACUAUGUCCCCAUCUCCGUGCCCUGCUGAGUCACUGGCUGGGAGUCUCUAGGAAUGAACCUGGCCAAGAUGCAAAAGCCUAGGUGAAGCCUGGGGGUGCCAACAGUGGUAAGGCGUCAGCUCAGCACAAUCCUUGUAGCUGUCGCUCUAGCAGCUGCAGCUUCUCAGUAGAAUCAGGAGAGGGCGCCCACGGACCUGUCUUUGCCUCGCUCCUAGCAAAGCCUCGCGACCGGGUUUCCUUACCCUGCAGCUGGGAUCUUAAUUCCAAGACCAGGGACCAAAUCCACGUCCCCUACAUUGGAAGGUGGAUUCCUAACUACUGGAUCACCAGGGAAGUCCCUCUUGAACAAAGUUGGUGAGGGGCACGCAGCAAACAAUAGCAACCGAGGACCUGCCUCAACCUGGUUCCUGGGGCCGUCGGUAGCCCCGAGAAGAGCGAAAGGCCCAAUAGCAGCUAAUAUUGUAUCAAUACUUGCCCAUCCUGGUUAAAGUCAAUCCCGAAGGACUUCAGAAUGUGGCCGUAUUUGGAGGAUUCUUCACCACUGAGUCAUCUGGGAAGCCUGACAAAAACAGAUCAGCCAAUACACUGAUGUCUUGGAGGAACCUCCUGCUGCCCAAAGCUGUGGGGCUGGUUCCCGGGUGGCCUCUCAACUCUCCAUCUAUCCCCGCCCACU